rnacentral:other from 1 species
ACAACUCUGGGGUGCGCGACUGAGCAGAAUACAUGCCCGGGCCAACAUUCCUUUUCAACAUCCGUCGUAAGAUGUCGGUGAGCAGGCCCGCGAAAGAGUGGGAAGCCUAAAACACCUUCACGGAAUAAUGUAGAAAACGGGUCUAUGGCUUGAACUGUAUCGUCGGCAUCCCGGAGCACCA